CGCAAGGGGCCCGUGGAAGAACCGGCAGCCAAUCACAAGAGGUUCCGCACACUAGAAGAAUUAAUUGCCUCUCCUGACAAUGCAGAAUCUGCGAAGGCCCCGUCUACUGACUCUCUGAACUAAGUGUGGCCGGAGCUCACGUUGCCCCAUGUGCUGUGAAGGCUGAACAACAUCAGUAGUACUUGAAGAAUGCUGUUCCUUGGGAGUUGAGAAACAACAUCAGGCUGCAAGCUGAGAUGCAAGUGUGCACUAAUCAUGUAACCAACCAGCAAUAGGUUGAAAAUUGUGAGCAACUGCUGUGUGAAAUUUGUGAAAAACUCUGUUUUUUAUUUGGAGGCUGGAACUAUAUUUAGUUGUGUUCACAGGGGAA